rnacentral:rRNA from 1 species
AACGAACGCUGGCGGCAGGCUUAACACAUGCAAGUAGAACGCACAGUUUAUACCGUAGCUUGCUACACCAUAGACUGUGAGUUGCGAACGGGUGAGUAACGCGUAGGUAACCUGCCUGGUAGCGGGGGAUAACUAUUGGAAACGAUAGCUAAUACCGCAUAAUAUUAAUUAUUGCAUGAUAAUUAAUUGAAAGGUGCAAUUGCACCACUACCAGAUGGACCUGCGUUGUAUUAGCUAGUAGGUGAGGUAACGGCUCACCUAGGCGACGAUACAUAGCCGACCUGAGAGGGUGAUCGGCCACACUGGGACUGAGACACGGCCCAGACUCCUACGGGAGGCAGCAGUAGGGAAUCUUCGGCAAUGGACGAAAGUCUGACCGAGCAACGCCGCGUGAGUGAAGAAGGUUUUCGGAUCGUAAAGCUCUGUUGUAAGAGAAGAACGGGUGUGAGAGUGGAAAGUUCACACUGUGACGGUAUCUUACCAGAAAGGGACGGCUAACUACGUGCCAGCAGCCGCCGUAAAAC